rnacentral:rRNA from 1 species
AUUGAACGCUGGCGGAAUGCUUUACACAUGCAAGUCGAACGGCAGCACGGACUUCGGUCUGGUGGCGAGUGGCGAACGGGUGAGUAAUGUAUCGGAACGUGCCCAGUCGUGGGGGAUAACGUAGUGAAAAUUACGCUAAUACCGCAUACGAUCUAUGGAUGAAAGCGGGGGAUCGCAAGACCUCGCGCGAUUGGAGCGGCCGAUAUCAGAUUAGGUAGUUGGUGGGGUAAAGGCCCACCAAGCCAACGAUCUGUAGCUGGUCUGAGAGGACGACCAGCCACGCUGGAACUGAGACACGGUCCAGACUCCUACGGGAGGCAGUAGUGGGGAAUUUUGGACAAUGGGCGAAAGCCUGAUCCAGCCAUUCCGCGUGCAGGAUGAAGGCCCUCGGGUUGUAAACUGCUUUUGUACAGAACGAAAAGGUUUCUACUAAUACUAGGAGCUCAUGACGGUACUGUAAGAAUAAGCACCGGCUAACUACGUGCCAGCAGCCGCCGUAA